AGUGAACGCUGGCGGUAGGCCUAACACAUGCAAGUCGAACGGCCGCACAGUAAGAGCUUGCUCUUACUGGUGGCGAGUGGCGGGCGGGUGAGGAAUACAUCGGAAUCUACUUUUUCGUGGGGGAUAACGUGGGGAAACUUACGCUAAUACCGCAUACGACCUACGGGUGAAAGCAGGAGAUCUUCGGACCUUGCGCGAUUGAAUGAGCCGAUGUCGGAUUAGCUAGUUGGCGGGGUAAAGGCCCACCAAGGCGACGAUCCGUAGCUGGUCUGAGAGGAUGAUCAGCCACACUGGAACUGAGACACGGUCCAGACUCCUACGGGAGGCAGCAGUGGGGAAUAUUGGACAAUGGGCGCAAGCCUGAUCCAGCCAUACCGCGUGGGUGAAGAAGGCCUUCGGGUUGUAAAGCCCUUUUGUUGGGAAAGAAAAGCAGCAGGUUAAUACCCCGCUGUUCUGACGGUACCCAAAGAAUAAGCACCGGCUAACUUCGUG
rnacentral:rRNA from 1 species